rnacentral:snRNA from 1 species
GGAUGCGAGGGUGAUCUGGUUGCAGCAGAUCAUACCCCAUGGAACCAGGGUUAGUGGUGAUGGUCUGUUGGGCUUAGCAAAAUCCUUUUCCUCUUUCGUUGCUCUGUGUGUCUCUCCCAGAGUUUCUCAUUCUGUUGAAGAUGACCUUUUCCAGGGGCUGAGGAACAGUCUUUCAGUCAAGAAUAUAUAAGCAGUUAUGCUAACCUAUAAGUAAACUAUUUAUGGAAGAAAUAAGAUAGUCAAAUUUCAAGACUCCAGGCCCAUCAAAAGGAGUCAGCCUGUUUUU